AAUAGAUACCCGGGUAGUCCACGCCGUAAACGAUGAGUGCUAAGUGUUGGGGGGUUUCCGCCCCUCAGUGCUGCAGCUAACGCAUUAAGCACUCCGCCUGGGGAGUACGGCCGCAAGACUGAAACUCAAAGGAAUUGACGGGGGCCCGCACAAGCGGUGGAGCAUGUGGUUUAAUUCGAAGCAACGCGAAGAACCUUACCAGGUCUUGACAUCCCGGUGACCACUAUGGAGACAUAGUUUCCCCUUCGGGGGCAACGGUGACAGGUGGUGCAUGGUUGUCGUCAGCUCGUGUCGUGAGAUGUUGGGUUAAGUCCCGCAACGAGCGCAACCCUUAUUCUUAGUUGCCAUCAUUCAGUUGGGCACUCUAAGGAGACUGCCGGUGAUAAACCGGGAGGAAGGUGGGGAUGACGUCAAAUCAUCAUGCCCCUUAUGACCUGGGCUACACACGUGCUACAAUGGACGGUACAAACGGUUGCCAACCCGCGAGGGGAGCUAAUCCGAUAAAACCGUUCUCAGUUCGGAUUGUAGGCUGCAACUCGCCUACA
rnacentral:rRNA from 1 species